rnacentral:rRNA from 1 species
GAUGAACGCUGGCGGCGUGCCUAAUACAUGCAAGUCGAGCGAACAGACGAGGAGCUUGCUCCUCUGACGUUAGCGGCGGACGGGUGAGUAACACGUGGAUAACCUACCUAUAAGACUGGGAUAACUUCGGGAAACCGGAGCUAAUACCGGAUAAUAUAUUGAACCGCAUGGUUCAAUAGUGAAAGACGGUUUUGCUGUCACUUAUAGAUGGAUCCGCGCCGCAUUAGCUAGUUGGUAAGGUAACGGCUUACCAAGGCAACGAUGCGUAGCCGACCUGAGAGGGCGGGUGGCCGCACUGGGAGUGUGACCCGCUCCAGUCGGCCACGGGAGGCGGCAGUAGGGAAACUGCCGCCAUCGGUGGAAGACUGACGGAGCAGCGCCGAGGGAGGGUGGAGGAACUUCGGGUGGUAAAACUCGGUUAUUAGGGAAGAACAAGUGUGUGAGUAAGAAGGCACGUCUUGACGGUAACUAAGCAGAAAAGCACGGGCAAAUACGGGG